rnacentral:lncRNA from 1 species
AUUCAACAACUGCUGUGGUACCCAACAUGUUGAAGUCACACAGACGUGAAUGCUCCCUGUCUGUGGUAAUCACCAGCAGGAGAGAAGAGCCAGGAGAUCUUCCUUAGAUCCUCAACUUCAGAACCUGGUGGAGUUACUAGAGGUAAAACCCCUGAAAGUGUGACAUUACCCUAAGACUGAAGACCAAGAAAUUUCUCAUUUUCAUGGUAGUCCACAUCUAGCCUUCAGUGAUUGCUCAAGUGUACCAUGU